GUCUCGUUGGUGUAGUUGGUUAUCACGUGGGUCUCAUAAUCCCAAGGCCGCCAGUUCGAGUCUGGCACGGGACA